ensembl:lncRNA
AAAAAAUUUAAAAAGUAACUUUAAGAUGUUUUAAAGGAAUUUAUUAAAUUGAAUUAAUUAAAUAAUUGCCUGCAUUACUUUAAAUCAGUUCAAUUUAUUAAUUAGAUAACUAAAACCAUUAAAUAAAGAUCAUUUAAUUCGGAUGAUAAUAUCACAGACAAGUGCAUUCUUGGCUUAGUUUCUAUGUCAUAAAUACCGUCUAAAAUGUAAUGAUUAAAUUAUUUUUGUGUAGUCUGGAUCUGUAUAAAACUAUAUUAGAUGGAUUUUUCUAUUGUUAUCUGGAAUAUAAUUUUAUUUUAAACAUACUGUAGUUAUUUAAGUUAACUUUUAUGACCUCACGUAUAAAGGUUUCAAAAGUUGUUCAGAAAGUUACAGUUAAAAAUGUACAUUUGUCCUCUUGAACUUUAGGAAACAGUGUUUGACAUUUUUCUGCUCUCUGGGUCUUGAAAAGCUCCUUCAUCGUCUUUUUGCAGAUUUCAGGUCUUCCAUUUCACUUCUCAUUAAAAGCGUCUCUCUAAUGUGCUGAUUCCUGCACUCUGCAUGUUCGACUUCAAGCCCCAGACACAAACUUCAUCCAAAAUGGAAACGGAGAGUCGAGGUCAGCGGAGGGAAUCUGACGCUGAGAGACUGUCGACCUUGAUGAAGAGUCUGCAGUCAGUCAUCAUCUUCCUCAGAUCUGCAGAAAGAGCUUCUUUUCAUUUGGGGAAAUAUUAAAAUGAGUUCUGCUCGACUGCACCUCAGAUCUGUGGAGACCAAACGCAGGAAUAAGGACCGUUUAUUUAUUUAUCUUGUAUUUUACACUGUAGACGUCUGAAUUCAAGCAUCUCUACAGUUUAUGUUGCUUUUCAACACUGUAAAAAAAUGACAACCCAAAUAUAUUUAGUUUAUUGUCAUGCACUGUUAAAAAUAAUAUUUUGUAAAUGUUUUUAACUGUAAUUUGGUGUUGGUUUUGGUGUCUAAAGAUUAUUGCCUGUGAAGAUUAUUAACUUUAUUUUAUUUUCAUUAAUGUAUUAAAUGAUGCAUUAAAAAACUAAUUUAAAUCAAUAAUCUGUGCAUGCAACUAAUUAAUCAAUACAUUUAAAAUUAUAAUAAAUAUAAUUAUAUAUUUAACCAAAAUUUUGGGAACAAUUUAAUCUUAUUUUUCAGAUUUUCCUGUUUUAUUUAAUUACUGUGC